UGGGGAAUAUUGCACAAUGGAGGGAACUCUGAUGCAGCGACGCCGCGUGAACGAAGAAGGCUUUCGAGUCGUAAAGUUCUUUUAUAUGGGAAGAUAAUGACGGUACCAUAAGAAAAAGCCCCGGCUAACUACGUGCCAGCAGCCGCGGUAAUACGUAGGGGGCUAGCGUUGUCCGGAAUCACUGGGCGUAAAGGGUUCGCAGGCGGAAAUGCAAGUCAGGUGUAAAAGGCAGUAGCUUAACUACUGUAAGCAUUUGAAACUGCAUAUCUUGAGAAGAGUAGAGGUAAGUGGAAUUUUUAGUGUAGCGGUGAAAUGCGUAGAUAUUAAAAAGAAUACCGGUGGCGAAGGCGACUUACUGGGCUCAUUCUGACGCUGAGGAACGAAAGCGUGGAUAGCAAACAGG
rnacentral:rRNA from 3 species